rnacentral:rRNA from 1 species
AUUGAACGCUGGCGGCAUGCCUUACACAUGCAAGUCGAACGGCAGCACGGGAGCAAUCCUGGUGGCGAGUGGCGAACGGGUGAGUAAUAUAUCGGAACGUGCCCAGUAAUGGGGGAUAGCCCGGCGAAAGCCGGAUUAAUACCGCAUACGACCUGAGGGUGAAAGCGGGGGAUCGCAAGACCUCGCGCUAUUGGAGCGGCCGAUAUCAGAUUAGCUUGUUGGUGGGGUAAAAGCCUACCAAGGCGACGAUCUGUAGCUGGUCUGAGAGGACGACCAGCCACACUGGGACUGAGACACGGCCCAGACUCCUACGGGAGGCAGCAGUGGGGAAUUUUGGACAAUGGGCGCAAGCCUGAUCCAGCCAUGCCGCGUGCGGGAAGAAGGCCUUCGGGUUGUAAACCGCUUUUGUCAGGGAAGAAACGGCUCUUGAUAAUACCGAGAGCUAAUGACGGUACCUGAAGAAUAAGCACCGGCUAACUACGUGCCAGCCGCCGCCGUAACAC